rnacentral:rRNA from 1 species
GUGCCAGCCGCCGCGGUAAUACGUAGGUGGCAAGCGUUGUCCGGAUUUACUGGGCGUAAAGAGCGCGCAGGCGGUCGACUAAGUCGAGUGUGAAAGCCCCCGGCUCAACUGGGGAGGGUCACUCGAUACUGGUCGACUCGAAGGCAGGAGAGGGAAGUGGAAUUCCCGGUGUAGUGGUGAAAUGCGUAGAUAUCGGGAGGAACACCAGUGGCGAAGGCGACUUCCUGGCCUGUUCUUGACGCUGAGGCGCGAAAGCUAGGGGAGCAAACGGGAUUAGAAACCCCCGUAGUCC